rnacentral:rRNA from 1 species
UACAUGGGGUGCAAACGUUGCUCGGAAUUAUUGGGCGUAAAGCGCGCGUAGGCGGUUACUUAAGUCGGAUGUGAAAGCCCUCGGCUUAACUGAGGAAGUGCAUCCGAAACUGAGUAGCUAGAGUACGAAAGAGGGUCGCGGAAUUCCCGGUGUAGAGGUGAAAUUCGUAGAUAUCGGGAGGAAUACCAGUGGCGAAGGCGGCGACCUGGGCCAAUACUGACGCUGAGGUGCGAAAGCGUGGGGAGCAAACAGG